rnacentral:rRNA from 1 species
UACGAAGGGGGCUAGCGUUGCUCGGAAUUACUGGGCGUAAAGGGCGCGUAGGCGGCACUGUUAGUCAGGCGUGAAAUUCCUGGGCUCAACCUGGGGACUGCGCUUGAUACGGCAGAGCUAGAGGAUGGAAGAGGCUCGCGGAAUUCCCAGUGUAGAGGUGAAAUUCGUAGAUAUUGGGAAGAACACCGGUGGCGAAGGCGGCGAGCUGGGCUAUGGCUGACACUGAGGCGCGACAGCGUGGGGAGCAAACAGG